rnacentral:scRNA from 1 species
ACAAUGUUUUCCCCUCCUUUCUGUGUGUUGCC